AGAGUUUGAUCCUGGCUCAGAUUGAACGCUGGCGGCAGGCCUAACACAUGCAAGUCGAGCGGGGUUUUCGGACCUAGCGGCGGACGGGUGAGUAAUGCGUAGGAAGCUACCCGAUAGAGGGGGAUACCAGUUGGAAACGACUGUUAAUACCGCAUAAUGUCUACGGACCAAAGUGUGGGACCUUCGGGCCACAUGCUAUCGGAUGCGCCUACGUGGGAUUAGCUAGCUGGUGGGGUAAUGGCUCACCAAGGCGACGAUCCCUAGCUGGUUUGAGAGGAUGAUCAGCCACACUGGAACUGAGACACGGUCCGGACUCCUACGGGAGGCAGCAGUGGGGAAUAUUGGACAAUGGGCGCAAGCCUGAUCCAGCCAUGCCGCGUGUGUGAAGAAGGCCUUCGGGUUGCAAAGCACUUUCAGCGAGGAGGAAGGGAGUUGUGUUAAUAGCACAGCUUCUUGACGUUACUCGCAGAAGAAGCACCGGCUAACUCUGUGCCAGCAGCCGCGGUAAUACAGAGGGUGCAAGCGUUAAUCGGAAUUACUGGGCGUAAAGCGCACGUAGGCGGUUUUUUAAGUCAGAUGUGAAAGCCCCGGGCUCAACCUGGGAAUUGCAUUUGAAACUGGAAAACUAGAGUGUGUG
rnacentral:rRNA from 1 species